rnacentral:rRNA from 1 species
AAAAAGCAGGGGAUCUUCGGACCUUGCGCUAUUGGAUGAGCCUAUGUCGGAUUAGUUAGUUGGUGGGGUAAAGGCCUACCAAGGCGACGAUCCGUAGCUGGUCUUAGAGGACGAUCAGCCACAUCGGGACUGAGACACGGCCCGAACUCCUACGGGAGGCAGCAGUGGGGAAUAUUGCACAAUGGGCGCAAGCCUGAUGCAGCUAUGCCGCGUGUGUGAAGAAGGCCUUAGGGUUGUAAAGCACUUUCAGUAGUGAGGAAAAGUGUUGCGUUAAUAGCGCAAUGCUGUGACGUUAGCUACAGAAGAAGGACCGGCAAACUCCGUG